UGAGGAAAGAAGCCUUGGGUGUCAGUCAG
rnacentral:piRNA from 1 species